rfam:Triticum urartu cultivar G1812 contig99962, whole genome shotgun sequence.
AUAACACUCCCUCCAUCCCAAAUUACUUGUCGCAAAAAUGGAUAAAAAUGGAUGUAUCUAGAACUAAAGUACGUUUAGAUACAUCCAUUUCCGCGACAAGUAAUUCCGGACGGAGGGAGUAUAAU